rnacentral:rRNA from 1 species
GACGAACGCUGGCGGCGUGCUUAACACAUGCAAGUCGAACGGAAAGGCCCUGCUUUUGUGGGGUGCUCGAGUGGCGAACGGGUGAUUAACACGUGAGUAACCUGCCCUUGACUUUGGGAUAACUUCAGGAAACUGGGUCUAAUACCUGAUAGGAGCUCCUGCUGCAUGGUGGGGGUUGGAAAGUUUCGGCGGUUGGGGAUGGACUCGCGGCUUAUCAGCUUGUUGGUGGGGUAGUGGCUUACCAAGGCUUUGACGGGUAGCCGGCCUGAGAGGGUGACCGGCCACAGUGGGACUGAGAUACGGCCCAGACGCCUACGGGAGGCAGCAGUGGGGAAUAUUGCACAAUGGGCGGAAGCCUGAUGCAGCAACGCCGCGUGCGGGAUGACGGCCUUCGGGUUGUAAACCGCUUUCGCCUGUGACGAAGCGUGAGUGACGGUAAUGGGUAAAGAAGCACCGGCUAACUACGU